GGAGUUGUGGCUCAGUGGUAGAGCGCUCACCUAGCAUGUGCGAGGCCCUGGUUUGAUCCUCAACACCA
rnacentral:tRNA from 1 species